GGAAGAUGGUCGAAUGCACAAGACAUUGCGGACGACAAGGCACAACACCCUCAUUAGGUCUACUGAUUAUCAGCUCCAAAUCCAGGUUACUUUGACACAAUGUCAAAGGAAGAUUGCGAAUUUCACAUGGCAAGACACAGGAGAUCAGAGGUAAAAUCAUUAGUGUGUGAUAAUAUUCGGAGUUAUAUGCCUUUUUUAUUCAAAAACUGUUGAUAAUUCAACUUAACAUUAUUGACUCAAAUGUUCAAUGUAGUGAGAUAUUAGUGGAUAUGUUCGAAUUUAGCCUUAAUCGAAAAGAUAUGCAAUCCUUGCGGGAGAACCAAUGGGUAUCAGAUAGCGUAAGCCAAGAGAAAAAUCAAAAUUUUUUUAUUUCACUAAUUUACUUAUUGUAGUUUUGGAGAUAGUUUCACCUUUUGGAAUGCUAAAAAAAUUUUGCACUUAUACUCACCUCUCUUUUAGGUCAUUGAUAUGUAUGCAAAGUUGUUGAAUAUGGAUGCGAGUAAAAGACUGAUGAAGGUUAAGUGGUACAUUGUCGAGCCAUGUGUUGUUGUGAGUAUAAUGGUCAACUUUUUUUUAACAACCAACUAACACCAUGCAUAUACAGUUGCACUCAUUGUUAGUUAAGUUAGAAAAUUUGAUUCCAAUAUUUAAUAAGUAGUAUUGGUUCCAGUGUUGCAAUUUCUAACUAUCCUAUAAGUUUCGAUCCAAUUUCAUUGAUUUGUUGGGCAGGCUGCCAUUCAACGUGUGGACCGAUUUGAGAAAAUGUCUGAUAAUGACUUAUAUUCGCAAUUGAACAAGUGGUUCAAAAUAAGAGCAGAUAAUGCUUCAAGUCUAGCAAAUGCCGAUAUUGUGAUCAAUCUCUUAUAACUCCUGGAUCAAAUAUCUUUUACUCUAUAUCAAAUGUGUUGCAUUUGUAAAGUCUAACACGUUAUAUUUUUAGAUACUGGUUCCAGUGGUGAACAAAAAUCACUGGUUUGUAUACUCAUUUGAUGUUGCACAAGGCAUUGUUCAUCUCCUUGACUCACGAGUUGAUUCGUCACGGGUUCGAGAGACUAACAUCUUGCGACGAUUGGUGAAAUCUAAAUACUAUUUAUAACUUGCAUUUUUAAUAGAUCUGUUCCAUGGCUUUAAAUUAUGUAACUAGUGUGAAAGUGUAAUCAGUACAAUUAUAUUUGUAUGUUGCAGAAGCGAACCUUGGGAUUAAUAAUGGCAAAACAAUUUGAUAGGAUGGUGGAUUUCAAAGAAUUUAUAUUGCAAGUUGCAGAUGUGCCUCAACAGUCUCCACACAAUAGAUUUGGACUCCGCACACAGAGUAAUACCCGAACGUAACUCGUAAAGGCACCGCAUUUUGGGGGGUACGAGCGAGGCAUGAGACAUGUACAGAUUAGCGUAAUUUAGUUGUUUUGAAUUUUGAAUAUGUACUCACGCUAGUACCCGACUAGGGUUGAUUGUACUCGAUUUGUAAACACUUUGGAAUAUUUUAGUGUGUAGAAGUUUUGUAUCUGGAUUUGAGUAUCAAUGUAUUUAUUAAGUGGAUGUGUUAUUCAUUUUC